rnacentral:rRNA from 1 species
CCUACGGGUGACAGCAGUGAGGAAUAUUGGUCAAUGGGCGAGAGCCUGAAGCAGCGAAGUAGCGUGAAGGAUGACUGCCCUACGGGUUGUAAACUUCUUUUAUGAAGGAAUAAAGUGAGGCACGUGUGCCUUUUUGUGUGUACUUUAUGAAUAAGGAUCGGCUAACUCCGUGCCAGCAGCCGCGGUAAUACGGAGGAUCCGAGAGUUAUCCGGAUUGAUUGGGUUUAAAGGGAGCGUAGAUGGGUUGUUAAGUCAGUUGUGAAAGUUUGCGGCUCAACCGUAAAAUUGCAAUUGAUACUGGCAGUCUAGAGUACAGUUGAGGUAGGCGGAAUUCGUGGUGUAGCGGUGAAAUGCUUAGAUAUCACGAAGAACUCCGAUUGCGAAGGCAGCUUACUAAACUGCCACUGACAUUGAUGCUCGAAAGUGUGGGUAUCAAACAGGAUUAGAUACCCCUGUAGUC